CGUGCCUUCCCAGGAAAGUAGCUGUUUAUACUGAUGUAGAGCCUAAGGUUCCACGUGAGUAACACGAGUGCACUGAUUUCUAUUACACAGAACAUUAAUAAGAGAAGGCACUGACCCUCGAUUUCCGAGAACCAGGGAAAAAUUUGGAGCAUCUCCAAGAUUAUAGCUGCCAGUGGCGAUGGGGAGAGUGGCCGUGAUAUCUCACCUCCGGCCUCUCCUUCUGGCUGUCCAAGCUCUGGACUCUGAGCUCCGCCCGUCACAGCCAAACAGGACAGGGAGAUCGUGGGAAAGACAAGUGGCAGACACGGAGCCGUCCACGUGCAGUUACUCGCUUUACACUGUUUCUUGGUGCCAUAUGAGUGGUAAACUCCUCAGAACAUCAUCGCAGGAAAUCCAGCAAGCAGCCAGACCAAAGUUGGAGAGUCGGCCAUGUGAUUUCUUGUUAUCUGUCCAGAAGCCACUGUAAAUUCACUACAAAAAGCAAGCUCCUGGCUCCCAGGAGGAGAAGUGUCGCUGGAAGAAAGUCAGGAGGAUGCGGCUUUAUUUAAUUGAGAACUAAAUGUCUUUGGGAUUGCUCUCUCCUAAGGAAGGGCACUUUGCUGUACACGCAUGUCAAUGCCUCCUUGGUGGUCUGUCCCCUGAUUUAGCCCAGGUCCCCACUCUGAAUUAUAGGUUCCUCUUUCGUUUGCAGAGACACUACCUGCCAAGGCAGUAUUUGGGUUUCCAACACCAUUCCCCAUACCCUCGAGCCCCUCACGCCCACUUCUCCCCCUCAGUCAGAUACUCAGAGGCCCCCACUCAGAGUCACAGAGACUCGCAACGUAUUAAGAUGGCAAUAUCAUCUUAUUGGCUAUUAACACAAAUGUGCCAAUAAACAUAGUGCAUAAAAAUUAUACAUAUUCCCUUGGAGUCCAUAAUCCUGAACUGCUAUGGCUAAUGCAGAACACACUUCCCAAAAGUAGUGCUGGAAGUCACCAUGUACAAAUUGAAUUUUAAAUAAAUUUCCUGAAACAACACCAGUGGCUCUAGCCACCCGAGCUAUACGUAUGUGCUAAAAAUAGAACACAGAGUAGUCAUGCCCAUCCCAACCCCUAAGGGAUGGGACUGGUGGGCAUGUAUGUUGCUGCCUUGUCC
ensembl:lncRNA